UAAAGGCAUCCUCGUCGUCCUCCUGGCUGCUGGAGAAGGAUAUGUAUUAAAAGGCGAGUCACACGGCAGUGUUAUCGUUAGUUAUUCGACGUUUUCGGACCCGUUAGGAUCUGCUUUUCGAGGUCGAGAGUUCUCUUCUCCGGGCGUACUUGCCGUCGUCGGUGGUAUUCAUCAUUUGCAGUCUGGUGUGCGCCUGAGGCACGACCUUUUGCUUCUGCUGUCUUAGCACCACGGUUGGCGAGUGUGGCGUAAAAAAUUGAAGGUGGUGUUUUGGUUCCCGUCUGUUUCGGUGUGUUACUUUCUGGCAGGAUCGGUGUGGUGGCAAUAGAAGAAGUUAUAAAUCUGGUUUUAUCACCUUACCGUGGCAUGCUUUUGUGGUACUUUCACGUAUGAAAUAGGCUUCUCCAGAGUAAAGCAGUUUCCCGGCGCGGAAAAAGUGGAUGUGAUUCAGCCCAGAAGGGUGUCGAUAUCAUGGCGUUCAGGGGGUAACAGUUUCUGUCACAGUGCGUUGUUCGAUGAGAUUUAUCACAUUCAUAUCGCGGUGGGAGUCGUUUUGAAAGGGAAAAUUAAUUGCCGCUCCUCCCAGUGGAAUAAUUUGGGCUCGACGUCCGCGUUUCUGCUCCCAGGAUCUAAGUGAAGUGUCACGUGAAUCGUAGUGUGUAUGAAAAGCGGCAGUGUGAUAUAUCGCAAGCACAUGUUUUCACGCGUACUUUAGGCAACGUAUCAACCAAGCUCUUCUCAAGUGCUUUCUCGGAAAAACCCAAAAUCUGAUAAAAAUAGAAUGAAAUAACGGUUGAAAAAAUAAUCCUUCUCCUACCGGAUUCAAUCAAUUAUCGUUCCAUCAUCGUUUGCGUCGGCUUUGGUGACGAGGGCCACUGGCUGGUUGGUGCUAUUUGAAAAAGAUUCAGCCAGUCUAUUUUCAAUUCAUUCUGAUUCAACAAUAGCCGUCGCACAACAAAAAACUCAUGUUGAAGAAGUGAAAUUUGUGGAAAAUCAUCCAAACAAGAAAGCUCCAGCAGCAUCAGCAGGCGAAGUACAAGAAAGCAUAACAGAUACAGCCAGUUAGGCUUGCGCUGGGAGGGGGAGGUGAAAAUUCGGGCGAGAAAGUGGAUCCGGCUUAGAGUGUAUUGUGAUAGCUAUUCCAAUUUCUAGAGUCGACUGCCUGGUGUUUUGGUCCCCGGUACAAGAGAAGAGCCGGUUUUACAAUUCAAGCUGCGGUGGAGUGUUUGGCAGUCAAUGGAUGUUUGUCAUCCCCUGCUGCUUCCAUACCUCCGGUGUCUGGUAGUUCGAGGUUCAGGUGUUGCGGCCGUGAAUCCAAGAGUGUUAUCUUCUUUUUGUGUGGAACCGUUAACAGAGAAAAAUCGUCAAAACGUGGGGCGAAAUCAAGAAAGGUCUCCAAUCGCUGUGGAUGACUAGACUCUGCAGUCCUUGGGAUUACAGUCAGCACGACGAGUAUCCACUGGACGGAUUCUCUCAGUUCCUACAUCCGUCACACAACGACGGCAAAGAAAUGGACGACAUGUUGGUGCACCACUGCAACAAGAACAGCGUCUACGUACUGGAUUCCAGCUACCGAUACCGGGAUUUCGACAUGAUAGAAUUAUUCGGUUCACCGGCUGGAAGAGCAUUAACAGUGAAUAAUAGAACAGCUGCCGAAAUGCAGCCAUGUAGUAAAUCGAACAGCAACAACAAUGGCAGCAAUAGUUCCAACAUUGCCAGCAUCUCCCCCCACAACCGACAGCCUCUUUACCAUCCCCUCCAGAACUGUGGCUUCAGUGGAACCUGCAGCACAAUUUGCACCAGCCUCAACCAGAACCAUGCGAGCCAUUCAACUGCCAACAACAACUUUGUUGAAACCAACGAUCUAAUAAGGUACAGAUCCAGCAACCAUCAUCCCCAGCUGCCUGGCCAGCGGCAUCACCAAACGACAAACUACAGCAACGGCCGAACGAACUCGAAAAUCGCCAAAAUAUGGAAACUCUUCGACGAGGAUCGAAUACACAGGACCAGCCCUGGCAGAUGCGGCAGCACCAAACAGAGUAACAGCACUAGUACUGGGAUUAGCGGGAGUGAUAUCUUCAGCCGAUGUCAAAGCAGGAGGAAAUCCAGCCCAUCCCAACAUGAAGAGAAAUCCACCAAGGACCUGUACAACGAGGCGGCCCAGCUGCUCGGAAUCAAGUGCACUCUCAGCGACAACUGUCGCUGCAUUGAUUGCCAGAGCCAGUACUUUGACUGUGACGAUUUUGAUUCGUACUCGGAAUAUUCGGAUAAAUCAUUCGACACGGAAGACAAUUUCGUCGUCAAUCAAUCGUCCUAUUACUGCUCCAGCGGAACCAUCCACAGUCAGCGGAACGAUAUAACAGACGUCUGUCAUCAUGUAGACGACAGUCAGGACCAAGACGUCGUCGUUAUUGGCGCCGCCGGGAAUCCCGAUGUCUGCGGUAACGAACCCUCCAGCCGCAGCGCUACGCCCAACGGCGAUGCCAAUCAGCAGCCCAACCAUCUCCGGGGAGUAAACGUCGCCGGCGUGCGUUAUGACGAUGAAAAUGCGGAUGACAAUGGUAACAAUAAAAAUGAUCAAUAUUUACUGCACGACACGUCCCACGAGCUGCCACAUCCGGUAGAUGCCCGUCGAAAUCCCACUGCUGUUGGCGGAAUCUGAUGUAGGGAGAAUCGUGGCAGUGAUAUCGGACCGAAGCAACAGAUAAAGCCGCCAUCGCUGGGGGAUGAUGGCUUCUCAUCCAGUUCCGUUGUUGGAGGUCAUGCCUCGGCUGGGAAAAUUAACGAAUCGGAAACGAAUGGCAAUUUGAUAGCAUGAAAAAGCUGCUUUAUAUGUUCCAAGGACCACCUCCUCGUCACAUCCAGUUCAUAGAAACCAACAAUUCGAAACCAACCGAUAGAAGCUGCAUGAAUCAAUUGCUUAUCAUUCCGACCAAAUAAUACGGAGCAAAAUGCCAACACCUUCCAGGAUAAUUCCCCACAAAGAGAUCGAAACCAAUGAGAUAGAAACUGUUAACCAGCAACUAGAGCAAAAAGAUGGAAGAUAGCCUCCCAUCUCACAGCUUUCACACGCAGCAACACUGUAGGUUAUAUAAAUCCAUCUUUAACUCAUACUGAAGCCAACACGAUACCUUUGAGCCCACCGCCAUCUUACGAACAUGUAUUAGAAGAAAAUCGCCUUGCUGCUUUAGAUAAAGAGAACAACAAAACAUCUC